rnacentral:lncRNA from 1 species
AAACCCAUUGAACAUAAUGAUCCAACGCCAUCUCCCAAUCUUGAAUUCCUUGUAUUCGAAGCAGAGGAAGAUGAUGUUGAAGGGGAUUCCUGACGAGAUUACCCGUUUUCUUGAGCACGAAAAGAAGCUCAUUCAGCUGUAUCAUGAGAAUCGGCAAAACAGUCAAACUGGGGCAUUACAAAUGUAAUGUAAAAAAAAAAAAAAAAAA